rnacentral:rRNA from 1 species
GGAUGCGAUCAUACCAGCACUAAAGCACCGGAUCCCAUCUGAACUCCGAAGUUAAGCGUGCUUGGGCGAGAGUAGUACUAGGAUGGGUGACCUCCUGGGAAGUCCUCCUGUUGCAUUCC